rnacentral:ncRNA from 1 species
AAGCCAGUGAGCUAACCUAUUUAUAGGAGGCAGCUGUCGAAGGUAGGGUCGAUGACUAGGGUGAAGUCGUAACAAGGUAGCCGUAUCGGAAGGUGCGGCUGGAUCACCUCCUUU